rfam:Oryza sativa Japonica Group DNA, chromosome 9, cultivar: Nipponbare, complete sequence.
AAAAAGACAAACCCUGGCUUCCGUGUCCAACGUUUGACCAUCCGUCUUAUUUAAAAAAAUUAUAAAAAAAAUAUAAAAAAUAAGUCACGUAUAAAGUAUUAAUCAUGUUUUAUCAUCUAACAACAAUAAAAAUACUAAUUAUAAAAAAAAUUCAUAUAAGAUGGACAGUCAAACGUUGGCACGGAAACCUAGGGUUUGUCUUUUU